rnacentral:rRNA from 1 species
AGGGCACCACCAGGAGUGGAGCCUGCGGCUUAAUUUGACUCAACACGGGAAAACUCACCCGGCCCGGACACUGGAAGGAUUGACAGAUUGAGAGCUCUUUCUUGAUUCAGUGGGUGGUGGUGCAUGGCCGUUCUUAGUUGGUGGAGUGAUUUGUCUGGUUAAUUCCGAUAACGAACGAGACUCUAGCCUACUAAAUAGAUAGUCGGCUUACAAACGUCGACUAGACUUCUUAGAGGGACAGGCGGUGAUUCAACCGCACGAAACAGAGCAAUAACAGGUCUGUGAUGCCCUUAGAUGUCCGGGGCCGCACGCGCGCUACACUGAAGUGAUCAGCGUGCUUUUUCAGCCUACUCUGUCAAGAGUGGGAAACCCAAUGAACCUUCUUCGUGACUGGGAUAGGGGAUUGUAAUUAUUCCCCUUGAACGAGGAAUUCCCAGUAAGCGCGAGUCAUAAGCUCGCGUUGAUUACGUCCCUGCCCUUUGUACACACCGCCCGUCGCUACUACCGAUUGAAUGUUUU